rnacentral:tRNA from 1 species
GUAGCUAUAGCUCAGAGGGCAAAGCAUUUGCCUAGAAUGCAUAAAGCCCUGGGUUUAAUUCCUAGCACUACA